GGAGAGGUGUCAGAGUGGUCUAAUGAACCGGUUUCGAAAACCGGCAGGCUCGUAAGGGCCUCGAGGGUUCGAAUCCCUCCCUCUCCGCCA
rnacentral:tRNA from 3 species